CGCGUAGGCGGUCGGUCAAGUCGGUUGUGAAAGCCCUCGGCUCAACCGAGGAACUGCAUCCGAUACUGACUGGCUAGAGUAUGGAAGGGGAGAGUGGAACUCCUGGUGGAGCGGUGAAAUGCGUAGAUAUCAGGAGGAACGCCGGUGGCGAAAGCGACUCUCUGGUCCACAACUGACGCUGAGGCGCGAAAGCCAGGGGAGCAAACG
rnacentral:rRNA from 1 species